GACUCACUUUCUUCUCCCGGGUUUUUCUCUCUUCUCUCCGCCUCUCGAACUCCUCAAAGGAGAUUUUCCCUUCCAGUGAUUUGUCCAUUGAUGAGUCAGAGACAACCACAUUUACCUGGAGAUGGAGCCCAAUUGUUACAGCAGUAAUGAAACUGCCAAGAAGAAACAAUUGUGUCUUUCAGACUGAUUUUUGAGACUCAAAAUGGAAAGUCUAAAGGAAGUAGAACAUUGAAUUUAUAGCAUGACAAUUGAAUUAAAGAGUACAGAGAGGUGACUCUA